rnacentral:rRNA from 1 species
ACAAAGAGCAGCAAGUUCGCGAGGACAAGCAAAUCUCAUAAACCGUGGCUCAGUUCAGAUCGUAGGCUGCAACUCGCCUACGUGAAGGAGGAGUCGCUAGUAAUCGCAGGUCAGCAUACUGCGGUGAAUACGUUCCCGGGCCUUGUACACACCGCCCGUCACACCAUGGAAGUUGGCCACGCCCGAAGCCGUUACUCCAACCCUUGUGGAGGAGGACGUCGAAGGUGGGGCUGAUGACUGGGGUGAAGUCGUAACAAGGUAUCCGUACCGGAAGGUGCGGAUGGAUCACCUCCUAAC